GUGCUUACUUUGGCAGCACAUAUACUAAUAUUAGAAUGAUGCAUAGAAGAUUAGCGUGAUUACUGAACAAGGAUGACAUGAAAAACUGGGAAGCAUUCCAUAUUAAA
ensembl:snRNA U6 U6 spliceosomal RNA